UAGGGAAUCUUCCGCAAUGGACGCAAGUCUGACGGAGCAACGCCGCGUGAGUGAAGAAGGAUUUCGGUUCGUAAAACUCUGUUGUUAGAGAAGAACAGCGCAUAGAGUAACUGUUAUGCGUGUGACGGUAUCUAACCAGAAAGCCACGGCUAACUACGUGCCAGCAGCCGCGGUAAUACGUAGGUGGCAAGCGUUGUCCGGAUUUAUUGGGCGUAAAGCGAGCGCAGGCGGUCAAUUAAGUCUGAUGUGAAAGCCCCCGGCUCAACCGGGGAGGGUCAUUGGAAACUGGUUGACUUGAGUGCCGAAGAGGAGAGUGGAAUUCCAUGUGUAGCGGUGAAAUGCGUAGAUAUAUGGAGGAACACCAGUGGCGAAGGCGACUCUCUGGUCUGUAACUGACGCUGAGGCUCGAAAGCGUGGGUAGCAAACAGG
rnacentral:rRNA from 1 species